UUUUAGGUUUUCCUCUUUUAGGGACGCGGGGUUUGAAUUCAUGGUUAAUAAAGGUGAAUCAUCAUGCUCUUCUGUUGGUGCAUCUGUAGUAUUGUUCGGUUGAUUCAUUGCAUCCAAUAUAGACGAUGAACUGGUUUCUGAGAGAGCUGUUGGAGGCUCUAACGAUUUCAGAUCCUCUACCAGUUUAGGUGAUGCUUCCUGCUGAACUGUUGGCACAGCUGAUUGAACACUUGCUGUUUUAGAAAUGUUACCUGCUCCAUCAGAUUUAAUGGAAGGCUCCUGAAUUUCAGAGUUUGCUGUUUCAUUCAUAUGUUGCCUAGUUGGAUUUGCACUAUGUGAGUGAUCCUCCUUCGGAACAGAAACUUCAGGUUUAGGAGCACAUUCUUGGGGACAACUUCCUUUCACAUCUUUUGCAUCUUCCAUUUCCAAUUAAGAGCAGAAAUGAUGUGUG
rnacentral:misc_RNA from 1 species